AAGGGCCCUAGAGCCGUGGGGAGAGGCAGCCCGUGGCCUGGAGCAGUGGAGGUGUUAACCACCGAAGGGAGGUAGAAUGUUUUUCCCCACCAGAGGAGGCAGCGACCACGUCUCCUCUAUGGAGGCAUUCAAGAGCCGUCCAGCUGAAGCAGCAUCACUGUCUGAGAGAGAGGCAUCCAAAAGGGAAAAAGCCGGCCUGAGGUGGACCACAGCAGACUUGAUAGGCAGGCUUGAGGAGGCGGCGUCUGAUUUACACAGGGCCCACAGAUUGGUCUGAUCAGGUGUGACGUUUACAUAGCGCUCGGGGAAGGCUGGUCGUCCCACCCUAAUCUUAUUAAACAAAUGGGCUUUCUACUUGGCCAGUACCAUCUUGUCUGCUCCUUACUAUACACGCGGGUGGCAAAGACAGGAGAAGAUGGAGCCACCGUUUUGAACGUGUCUAUUCCCAGCUCGGAAGGCACAAUCCACAUAGGUCUGCAUGGUCCACCGAGCUGCAUACCCACGGGGCCAGCGGGAGGUGGGCAGCUGCUGGGCUCUCUUCUGAAGCAGACAGGAUCUCACUCUGUUGCUGAGGCUGGAUCACAGCUCCCUGCAACCUUGAACUCUCCCUCAAGCAAUUCUCCCCACUCUGCCUUCCAAAGCACUAGCAUUAUAGGCCUAAGCCACCACUCCCAUCCACUGUAGUGUAAACUGUCUCCUUCAAUGUUUCCAAUAGUUGCGGAGCAGAUCAGAUAAGGGUUCUUCCUGUCUGUUGCUUCAAGUUUCAUUCUCUCUUUAAACAAUACAAGGUUGGCUUCCAUGGUUCCUUCUUAAAGAAUGUUGAAGGUGUGUCUUCAGAUUCAUUUAGUGUUCGUGGAACCCCAGGGAAAGCUGAUGUAAAAACCUCUUUUUUCUCCCAUAUGUCUCAAAAAGUUGUAUUUUCUGGGUCCAAGGGAUCUGCAAGCCUCCUAAAGGCAUUUCCAUUGUCACUACCACCAGGUGUGAACUGUAAUCUGGCACGUAUAGUUCCAAGAACUGUCAUAAUAGAUGCUGAAGAAACAUUGUGAAGUUAACUCGCUGUUACCAACUGUGAAGUCAUUAGCUAGAGGAAUCUUGGGCGGUCUGAAAUCUGAGAUACUGUGGAAAGAACAGAAAGAUCCUGUAUCUUUCCUAUAAUUGUUCUACUGGAAGUUGUCAUUUUACACAGGAGACAUUCUGUUUUAUUUAUUUUCUUUUGAGACAGGGUCUCACUCUGUCGCCCAGGCUGGAGUGCAGUGUUGUUACCACAGGUCACUGGUGCCUCCACUGCCUGAGGACUGCUCAAGCAAUCCUCCUGCCUCAGUCCCCUGAGGAGCUGGGGCCACAGGCCUGCACCACCAUGCCUGGCUAAUUAUUUUUAUUUGUAGAGACAAAGUCUAUCUUGCCUAGGCUGAUCUCGAACUCCUGGGCUCAAGUAAUCCUCCCGCGGUGGCUUCUCAAAGUGCUUGGGAUUACAGAUGGUCUUGCUCUGUCACCCAGUCUGGAAUGCAGUGGUGCCAUCAUAGCUCACUACAGCCUGAGCUGUACUGAGCUCGAGGGAUCUUCCCGUCUCCGCCUCCUAAGCAGCUGGGACUACAGGUACUUGCCCCCAGGCCCAGAUAAUUUAUUUAAAAACUUUUUUUGUAGAGACAGGGUCUCACUAUGUUGCCCAGGCUGGUCUCAAACUCCUGGCCUCAAACAAUCCUCUACCUCAACCCCCCUAAGUGCUGGCAUUACAGGCAUCAGCUGCCAUGCCUGGCUACAAAUCUUAAUGUUUUCCCCAUGGCUUCUUUUUCUGGCGUUCUUUUCUCAGGUAAUGGAAGUGGGCAGAGAAUGAUCCUUUCCCUAGGCUCCAGUGUGUAAGAAUUAAAGAAAGAGGAAAGAAACACAAUGGCUUGAUGGUCGAGGACAGGUUUAUUUUAAAGAAAACAAACCCAAGAGUGGCUUCUGGCUGAGUUAGAUCAGAGGCAUGCUCUCUUACAGACUAAGAGUUUUUAAGGAUUCAGGGUGGGAGAGUUUAUCAGAGGCUUGGACUGCUUCUGUGUCUCUUUAGGUGUGCUUAUCUGGGAGGGAGUUGUGUGUCUGUUUCCAUACAUCUUCCUGCAGCUGCAGGCAUACCCCCAGGUCUGCUUUUAGCUUCCCUAUCUUAGUGCACCUGAAGGGAAAGAAUGUGCUUAUUAAGGCCCACUGUUAUACUGGGGCCCAAUGUAUGAGGGUGAAGUUUGGCAAUUACCCAAGAGACUUUCCCCCCACCUCCCUCUGUGCCUGAGCUGUCUCAUCUAUGUUUUACUGUCUGCUCUUUCUGUCUGCUUGUUGUUAGAAGAGAAGUGAUUUUCUUGAAAUGCAUGAGGCUGGAAAGGGAGCUGGCACUUAAAGUGGCGGUGUUUGUCCGAGAGGAUGGUGCUCCUGCUCUGUCACAGUGGGCAUGGGGAUUCAGGCCACUGCCACCGAAUUUCAAGAGCCCAAGCACAGAGCCCAGAACUAAAUUGUGAGGGUUUAAAAAAAAAAAAAGCUUUAUUGAAGUAUAAUUGACAUACAAUAAACUUGAAUAUUUAAAGUGUA
rnacentral:lncRNA from 1 species